rnacentral:rRNA from 1 species
UCCCAUAAACCGUGGCUCAGUUCAGAUCGUAGGCUGCAACUCGCCUACGUGAAGGCGGAAUCGCUAGUAAUCGCAGGUCAGCAUACUGCGGUGAAUACGUUCCCGGGCCUUGUACACACCGCCCGUCACACCAUGGAAGUUGGCUACGCCCGAAGCCGUUACUCCAACCCUUGUGGAGGAGGACGUCGAAGGUGGGGCUGAUGACUGGGGUGAAGUCGUAACAAGGUAUCCGUACCGGAAGGUGCGGAUGGAUCACCUCCUAA